CACUGGCCAGCCCUGCGACCACCCUUAAACCUCUGGGAGGUCUCACCUCUUCAUUUUUUGAGGCUCAGAUCAACUUGGCUGGGCGGUGGGGUGCGGUGGGUGCCGGGGUCCCCGCCGCUUGCCCCCCACCUACACCCCCAGACCGCCUCCCCACACACCCCCCGCAGCGCAUCUCCCCCUCCUUCGGCCGAGCCGGGCUGGGGGGUCAGACCCGCGUCUCCCCGGGCCCCGGGGGCGUCCCGCCGCCCUCCUUACCUCCGCCAUGGGGCAGCCGCCGCCGCCGCCCCAUCCUCCUCCCGCGGCGGGGCCGGGGGCGGCUCCCCCGGGCGGGGCGGGCAGGACCGGGCGCCUCCGCUCGCCCCGGGGCCGAGAGCCGGGGCGGGAACUCGCCAGGGCAGGUCCGGCUGCCAGCGGAGCCCGAGGAGGCUCGGGGGUUCGGUGGCCCAUGGCUGCCCGGCGGUAGCCACACACCCCCCACCGCCCCGACAGCCGACGCGCCUCGUCCGGGGGUGCGUGUGCGCGGGGUGGGGGGUGAGACCGACCGUCUCCUCGUCUCCCGCAGCCGAGCACGAACACACACGCACACACACGCCGCCGCCGCCGCCCCCGCACCGGCCCGGCCCCCGGGCGGGAGGCGGCGCGGGGGCGGGACGGGAGACGCGGGACGGGGACCCCGGCACCCACCGCACCCCGCCGCCCAGCCAAGUGUCGGGGACGCGGGACGGGGACCCCGGUACCCACCGCACCCCGCCGCCCAGCCAAGUGUCGGGGACGCGGGACGGGGACCCCGGUACCCACCGCACCCCGCCGCCCAGCCAAGUGUCGGGGACGCGGGACGGGGACCCCGGUACCCCCGCACCCCGCCGCCCAGCCAAGAGUCCCGGGACAUGACACCCACCUGUGUCCUGGGGGCUCCCUGCCUGCCCCGGGAUGGGGGGGAGUAACAGCCUCCGGUGGCUGGAGCGGGCUGGGAAUAAAGGAGGCGGGUUAGAAAGGGACGGGAGCUAA
rnacentral:lncRNA from 1 species